rnacentral:rRNA from 1 species
UGGGGAAUCUUGGACAAUGGGCGCAAGCCUGAUCCAGCCAUGCCGCGUGAGUGACGAAGGUCUUCGGAUUGUAAAGCUCUUUUGGCGGGGACGAUAAUGACGGUACCCGCAGAAUAAGCCCCGGCUAACUUCGUGCCAGCAGCCGCGGUAAUACGAAGGGGGCUAGCGUUGUUCGGAAUUACUGGGCGUAAAGCGCACGUAGGCGGAUCUAUAAGUCAGGGGUGAAAUCCCGGGGCUCAACCUCGGAACUGCCUUUGAUACUGUAGAUCUCGAGUCCGGAAGAGGUGAGUGGAAUUCCUAGUGUAGAGGUGAAAUUCGUAGAUAUUAGGAAGAACACCAGUGGCGAAGGCGGCUCACUGGUCCGGUACUGACGCUGAGGUGCGAAAGCGUGGGGAGCAAACAGGAUUAGAUACCCGAGUAGUCCCUGAGCGGGCUGGCAAGGCGCAU